rnacentral:rRNA from 1 species
UAAGGAAUAUUGCACAAUGGGGGAAACCCUGAUGCAGCAACGCCGCGUGAGUGACGAAGGCCUUCGGGUUGUAAAACUCUUUUCUGAGGGAUGAGGAAGGACAGUACCUUAGGAAUAAGUCUCGGCUAACUACGUGCCAGCAGCCGCGGUAAAACGUAGGAGGCGAGCGUUAUCCGGAUUUACUGGGCGUAAAGGGCGAGUAGGCGGUGGUUCAAGUUGGGCGUGACAGAUCCUGGCUUAACUGGGAGAGGUCGUUCAAAACUGGAUCACUAGAGGGCAGGAGAGGGGAGCGGGAUUCCUAGUGUAGCGGUGGAAUGCUCAGAUAUUAGGAAGAACACCAGUGGCGAAAGCGGCUUUCUGGCCUGCACCUGACGCUGAAGGGCGAAAGCUAGGGGCGCGAACGG